AAGUGCUCGGUCGAGAUUGUAAGAUACAUUUAACAAUGACCUCAAAUCAGGCAAGAAUACCCGCUGAACUUAAGCAUAUCAAUAAGCGGAGGAAAAGAAACUAACAAGGAUUCCCCUAGUAACGGCGAGUGAAGAGGGAAAAGCUCAAAUUUUAAAUCUGCCUUGUUUCAAGGUCGAGUUGUAAUUUGAAGAAGCGUUUUCUUGGGCUCGCGGCCGGUAGAAGUUCUUUGGAACAGGACAUCAUAGAGGGUGACAAUCCCGUCUGCGACCGGUCGUGUGUUCAUCUACGAUACGCUUUCAAAGAGUCGAGUUGUUUGGGAUUGCAGCUCCAAAUGGGUGGUAAACAUCACCUAAGGCUAAAUAUUGGCGAGAGACCGAUAGCGAACAAGUACCGUGAGGGAAAGAUGAAAAGAACUUUGAAAAGAGAGUUAAACAGUACGUGAAAUUGUUGAAAGGGAAACGAUUGAAGUCAGUCGUGCUGGCGCGAAAUCAACCCUCUCGUCGAGAGAUCACAUGGCGUGGCGAGCCUCAAAACCGUCACGAAGCGUGAACUCUUGGCGAAAGGGAGCACUUUCGUGUCCGCUGGUUAACAUCAAUUUCGAACGUCAUAAAAAGGCUGGAGGGAUGUGGCUCCUUCGGGAGUGUUAUAACCUUUAGCGGAAUGUGGUGGUCGGGAUUGGGGAUUGCAACGAAUACCUUUAGGGCUGUUCCACCUGGCCUCUCUCUGGUAUCCUGGUGACGACAGCUUGCUGACGUCGUUAGGAUUCGCCUUUGAACGGGCUAGAGUGUGAGCAAAUUCGUUAAGGAUGUUAACGUAAUGGCUUUAAACGACC
rnacentral:rRNA from 1 species